rnacentral:rRNA from 1 species
GAAAGGCUUCGGCCGGACAGGGAUGGGCAUGCGGCGCAUUAGGCAGUAGGCGGGGUAACGGCCCACCUAACCGACGAUGCGUAGGGGUUCUGAGAGGAAGGUCCCCCACACUGGUACCGAGACACGGACCAGACUCCUACGGGAGGCAGCAGUGAGGAAUAUUGGUCAAUGGUCGGGAGACUGAACCAGCCAAGCCGCGUGAGGGAUGAAGGUACAGAGUAUCGUAAACCUCUUUUGUCAGGGAACAAAGGCGGGGACGUGUCCCCGGAUGAGUGUACCUGAAGAAAAAGCAUCGGCUAACUCCGUGCCAGCAGCCGCGGUAAUACGGAGGAUGCGAGCGUUAUCCGGAUUUAUUGGGUUUAAAGGGUGCGCAGGCGGUCUGUUAAGUCAGCGGUCAAAGCCCGGGGCUCAACCCCGGCCCGCCGUUGAAACUGGCAGUCUCGAGUUGGAGAGAAGUAUGCGGAAUGCGCGGUGUAGCGGUGAAAUGCAUAGAUAUCGCGCAGAACUCCGAUUGCGAAGGCAGCAUGCCGGCUCCACACUGACGCUGAGGCACGAAAGCGUGGGUAUCGAACAGGAUUAGAUACCCUGGUAGUCCACGCAGUAAACGAUGAAUGCUGGCUGUCCGGGGGGGACUGACCCCUGG